rnacentral:rRNA from 1 species
GACGAACGCUGGCGGCGUGCCUAAUACAUGCAAGUAGAACGCUGAAGGAGGAGCUUGCUUCUCCGGAUGAGUUGCGAACGGGUGAGUAACGCGUAGGUAACCUGCCUGGUAGCGGGGGAUAACUAUUGGAAACGAUAGCUAAUACCGCAUAAGAGUAGAUGUUGCAUGACAUUUGCUUAAAAGGUGCAAUUGCAUCACUACCAGAUGGACCUGCGUUGUAUUAGCUAGUUGGUGAGGUAACGGCUCACCAAGGCGACGAUACAUAGCCGACCUGAGAGGGUGAUCGGCCACACUGGGACGGAGACACGGCCCAGACUCCUACGGGAGGCAGCAGUAGGGAAUCUUCGGCAAUGGACGGAAGUCUGACCGAGCAACGCCGCGUGAGUGAAGAAGGUUUUCGGAUCGUAAAGCUCUGUUGUAAGAGAAGAACGAGUGUGAGAGUGGAAAGUUCACACUGUGACGGUAGCUUACCAGAAAGGGACGGCUAACUACGUG